AGUCAAGUAAUUAAGUGCAUGUGGUGGAUGCCUUGGCAGUCAGAGGCGAUGAAAGACGUGAUAGCCUGCGAAAAGCUCCGGGGAGGCGGCAAAUAUCCUUUGAUCCGGAGAUGUCUGAAUGGGGGAACCCACCUACUUUAAGGUAGGUAUUGCAACAUGAAUACAUAGUGUUGCAAGGCGAACGAGGGGAAGUGAAACAUCUCAGUACCCUUAGGAAAAGAAAUCAAUUGAGAUUCCCUCAGUAGCGGCGAGCGAACGGGGAUCAGCCCAUUAAGUUAUGUGUGUUUUAGUGGAACGCUCUGGGAAGUGCGAACGUAGAGGGUGAUAUUCCCGUACACGAAAGGGCACACAUAAUGAUGACGAGUAGGGCGAGGCACGUGAAACCUUGUCUGAAUAUGGGGGGACCAUCCUCCAAGGCUAAAUACUCCUGACUGACCGAUAGUGAACCAGUACCGUGAGGGAAAGGCGAAAAGAACCCCUGUGAGGGGAGUGAAAUAGAUCCUGAAACCGCAUGCAUACAAGCAGUGGGAGCACCUUCGUGGUGUGACUGCGUACCUUUUGUAUAAUGGGUCAGCGACUUAUAUUCAGUAGCGAGGUUAACCGUAUAGGGGAGCCGUAGAGAAAUCGAGUCUUAAUAGGGCGUUUAGUUGCUGGGUAUAGACCCGAAACCAGGCGAUCUAUCCAUGAGCAGGUUGAAGGUUGGGUAACACUAACUGGAGGACCGAACCCACUGUCGUUGAAAAGCCAGGGGAUGACUUGUGGAUAGGGGUGAAAGGCUAAUCAAGCCUGGUGAUAGCUGGUUCUCCCCGAAAGCUAUUUAGGUAGCGCCUCGGACGAAUACCAUAGGGGGUAGAGCACUGUUUCGGCUAGGGGGUCAUCCCGACUUACCAAACCGAUGCAAACUCCGAAUACCUAUGAGUACUAUCCGGGAGACAGACUGCGGGUGCUAACGUCCGUAGUCAAGAGGAAAACAAUCCAGACCGCCAGCUAAGGCCCCAAAAUCAUAGUUAAGUGGGAAACGAUGUGGGAAGGCAUAGACAGCUAGGAGGUUGGCUUAGAAGCAGCCACCCUUUAAAGAAAGCGUAAUAGCUCACUAGUCGAGUCGGCCUGCGCGGAAGAUGUAACGGGGCUAAAACUAUGUGCCGAAGCUGCGGAUGUAUACUUUGUAUACGUGGUAGGGGAGCGUUCUGUAAGCCGAUGAAGGUGUGUUGAGAAGCAUGCUGGAGGUAUCAGAAGUGCGAAUGCUGACGUGAGUAACGACAAAACGGGUGAAAAACCCGUUCGCCGAAAGACCAAGGGUUCCAGUCCAACGUUAAUCGGGGCUGGGUGAGUCGACCCCUAAGGCGAGGCCGAAAGGCGUAGUCGAUGGGAAAAUGGUUAAUAUUCCAUUACUUCUGUGUAAUGCGAUGAGAGGACGGAGAAGGCUAAAUCAGCCUGGCGUUGGUUGUCCAGGUGAAAGGAUGUAGGCAUGUAUCUUAGGCAAAUCCGGGGUACUCUAUGCUGAGAUCUGAUAGCAAGCUGUACUUGUACAGCGAAGUGGUUGAUGCCAUGCUUCCAGGAAAAGUCUCUAAGCUUCAGUUACACAGGAAUCGUACCCGAAACCGACACAGGUGGUCAGGUCGAGUAGACCAAGGCGCUUGAGAGAACUCUGCUGAAGGAACUAGGCAAAAUGGUACCGUAACUUCGGGAGAAGGUACGCUGUUGUUGGUGAUGGAACUCGCUUCCUGAGCUGACGACAGCCGCAGAAACCAGGCCGCUGCAACUGUUUAUUAAAAACAUAGCACUCUGCAAACACGAAAGUGGACGUAUAGGGUGUGAUGCCUGCCCGGUGCUGGAAGGUUAAUUGAUGGGGUUAGCGUAAGCGAAGCUCUUGAUCGAAGCCCCAGUAAACGGCGGCCGUAACUAUAACGGUCCUAAGGUAGCGAAAUUCCUUGUCGGGUAAGUUCCGACCUGCACGAAUGGCAUAAUGAUGGCGGCGCUGUCUCCAGCAGAGGCUCAGUGAAAUCGAAAUCGCUGUGAAGAUGCAGUGUACCCGCGGCUAGACGGAAAGACCCCGUGAACCUUUACUGCAGCUUGACACUGAACUUUGACCUUACUUGUGUAGGAUAGGUGGGAGGCUUUGAAGCUGGAACGCUAGUUCCAGUGGAGCCGUCCUUGAAAUACCACCCUGGUAAUGUUGAGGUUCUAACUCUGUCCCGUGAUCCGGGACGAGGACCGUGUCUGGUGGGUAGUUUGACUGGGGCGGUCUCCUCCUAAAGAGUAACGGAGGAGUACGAAGGUGCGCUCAGCGUGGUCGGAAAUCACGCGUAGAGUAUAAAGGCAAAAGCGCGCUUAACUGCGAGACCCACAAGUCGAGCAGGUACGAAAGUAGGUCUUAGUGAUCCGGUGGUUCUGUAUGGAAGGGCCAUCGCUCAACGGAUAAAAGGUACUCUGGGGAUAACA
rnacentral:rRNA from 1 species